CAUUAUUCCAACCAUUUGAGUUACUUGCUUGACAUGUGAGUAGACCUCCAUGCAAGUACUCUGAUUCGAUUGUUUCAGUGAACUCAUUCCCUUAAUGAGCACCUACAUACUUGUCUUAGUGUGAAUGGGUUGAGACUUUCCAUCCUUCCAAUUGAAGCGGACACAGCAUGUACUGGUGAUGCGAAAAAUUACUUGACACACAAAUUAAACCCUCUUUUUGACAAUUGUAGUAUAGAUGUAAGUAGGGUAUCGUU
rnacentral:lncRNA from 1 species